CUGGUAUUGCAGUACCUCCAGGAACGG
rnacentral:piRNA from 2 species